rnacentral:rRNA from 1 species
GAUCAUGGCUCAGGAUGAACGCUAGCUACAGGCUUAACACAUGCAAGCCGAGGGGCAGCAUGGUCUUAGCUUGCUAAGGCCGAUGGCGACCGGCGCACGGGUGAGUAACACGUAUCCAACCUGCCGUCUACUCUUGGACAGCCUUCUGAAAGGAAGAUUAAUGCAGGAUGGCAUCAUGAGUCCGCAUGUUCACAUGAUUAAAGGUAUUCCGGUAGACGA